GGCCUCAUCGUCUAGUGGUUAGGACACCAGGUUUUCAUCCUGGUAACAGGGGUUCGAUUCCCCUUGAGGCUA
rnacentral:tRNA from 1 species